rnacentral:lncRNA from 1 species
AUGAGAGGUCAUGUGAAAGAAAGCACAGUUGUCCCAACUAAGGCUCUCCUAGGCCACCUCCCAGCCAGCCAACCCCUUACAUGUGAGAGAGCCAAGCCUAGAUCAGCAGACCUUCCUGCCAUCACACAGCUGUCUUCAGAUGUGUGGGUGAAACCAACUGAGACCACAGGAACCAUGCAGUUACCCUCAGUUCCAACGAGCAAGAAGAUUGGCUAUAAAAACUCCUGGGUAAAAUCAUCAUUCAAGAAGCCAAAGUUUCCUGAGGCCAUGAACAGCUACCAGGUCACAACUAGACGUGGCAGUCUGCAAGCCAGGAAGAGGGCCCCUACCAAGAAUUCAGCCAUACUGGUACCCUGAUGGUGUGCUGCCCAGCCUCCAUAACUGUGAGAAUAAUUGUCUGUUGCGUAAGCCACCCAGUCUGUGGUAUUUUGUCAUAGCAACCAAGUAGACUAAUAUAAGAAAAAAACCUAUAAGCCUGCUCUGUCCAAUAUGGUAGUCAUCAGCUGCCAAUUGUGAUUAUUGAGUGCUUGACAUAUGGCUGAUCUAAAUUGAGAUGGGCUGUAGGUGUAAAGUACAGAGCAGAUCUCAAAGACUUAGAUGAAAAAAGAAUGUAAAAUAUCUCAUUAAUUUUCUACAUUGAUUACAUGUUGAAAUAGUCAUAGUUUGUACAUAUUGAAUAAAUUAAAAUAUUUUUAUUAAAAUCCGUUUCUUUAGUUUUUUUGUUGUUGUAUA